rnacentral:hammerhead_ribozyme from 1 species
AUUCAGCUGACGAGUUCAAAACGGGAUGACACUCGAGUCCUGGAU